AUGAAUGCUGGCGGCGUGCCUCAUACAUGCAAGUCGCGCGAACAGACGAGGAGCUUGCUCCUCUGACGUUAGCGGCGGACGGGUGAGUAACACGUGGAUAACCUACCUAUAAGACUGGGAUAACUUCGGGAAACCGGAGCUAAUACCGGAUAAUAUAUUGAACCGCAUGGUUCAAUAGUGAAAGACGGUUUUGCUGUCACUUAUAGAUGGAUCCGCGCCGCAUUAGCUAGUUGGUAAGGUAACGGCUUACCAAGGCAACGAUGCGUAGCCGACCUGAGAGGGUGAUCGGCCACACUGGAACUGAGACACGGUCCAGACUCCUACGGGAGGCAGCAGUAGGGAAUCUUCCGCAAUGGGCGAAAGCUUGACGGAGCAACGCCGCGUGAGUGAUGAAGGUCUUCGGAUCGUAAAACUCUGUUAUUAGGGAAGAACAAAUGUGUAAGUAACUAUGCACGUCUUGACGGUACCUAAUCAGAAAGCCACGGCUAACUACGUG
rnacentral:rRNA from 1 species